GCCAGUGUGGUAUAGUGGUUUAAGUGUUGGACUAUGACGCUGGAGAGCAGGGUUCAAAUCCCUGCUUGGCCA